rnacentral:rRNA from 1 species
UACGGAGGGUGCAAGCGUUAUCCGGAUUCACUGGGUUUAAAGGGUGCGUAGGUGGGUCUGUAAGUCUGUGGUGAAAUCUCUGAGCUUAACUCGGAAACUGCCAUGGAUACUAUAGAUCUUGAAUACCGUGGAGGAUAGCGGAAUAUGUCAUGUAGCGGUGAAAUGCUUAGAUAUGACAUAGAACACCAAUUGCGAAGGCAGCUGUCUACGCGAAUAUUGACACUGAGGCACGAAAGCGUGGGGAGCAAACAGG